AAUGGAGUAAUUUGGGAUUAAAUUAGACAUGUUAGUAAUUUAAUCGGGUGAUAAUACGAAGGCUAAAACCGGAUUUAGAUAGUUACCAGUACAUUUUUGCAUUCCAUAUCAUGUAUUAGUAGUCUAAAUUAGUUUAAUUUCAAUUUAGUACCAAUGUGGUGAAUUUCUCGAAUUUGUACUGUGUUAAAGUGGUGAGUCCUCCGAAAAAGGUAAGGGAAUUGCACUCGAGGAUCAGUAAUCUGAGUACUUCGAAAAUCCCCAUUCUAAACAUUGUGAGUAACCUUACCAUUAUUUUAAUUAUCUAAAGUAUGUUUUUAGUCGGUUUUAGUGAAAUUUUAUGAAAAUAAGUUUAAAUGAUAAAUCUUUGUGUUUUACAAACAAAAUGUGUUUAUAUAAAAAGAUUUUAUAAAUUGUUUUGAAAUUGAAUAAUGAUUUUGAAAAAUAGAGUAAUUAGAGACCACCGGUAUGUUGUAAAUUUAUGAUUGGAAAUUGAUAGCUUAUGUUACAUUGUUAUUAUGUUGGCAUGACUAGCUGGGCUGUGUUUUAUGAAUUGUACGAAUUGUUUUAUUUUAUCCUUGUAGACUGGGUAGUAAAAUAUUAGCCCUGUCAUGCUGUAAAAAUUUUAUUGUAUGGUGGGUUUAGCUUGCUGCAGUAGGCGGAUUCUGUAGACCAGCUUAUUAGAGGGGCACAUAAUCCGGAUAUAUAUAUAUAUGUACCUCGGUCGGAGAGGCGCGUAGGGUAUUUCCUGAGGUAUGGAUAGAAAUCACGUCACGUCGAACCACAUCGUGAUGAUGAAUCUCGCUAACGCCAAGGAACGGCUGUGUUUUUCAAACUAAUAAUUUGAUUACGUGUAUACAAAAUUUUUAACAGCCUUGGUGGACUCGGUUAGAUGCCUCGGUCAAGGUAUCCCUGAGAAUGAUUUUGGUAUGAGCCAAGCUUUUAAAAUACUCAUAAGCCAUCUUGAUUAUUUAAAUGAAAUGAGUAUUUAUGUUAUGAAAAAUAUAUUUAGAUGAAAUGUUUUAAUAGUCUCAUUUUACUCGACUUUAGAUCUUUUAAAUGAUGUUUGUUUACUCACUGGGAUUAUAAAAUCUCACCACUCUCCUUUCCUUCAAUUUCAGGUUCAGAAUAGGUUGUAAAUAGCUGAUUUCAUCGAUGACUACCGUUGGAAUUGCAUUUUCCAAACUAUAGGUUCACAAUCCUCUUUACUUUUGUUUAUUUGGGAAGCCCACUUGUUAUUGUAAAUUAAAUUAAAUACUCUGACUUACUGUAUUACAGUAUGUAUGAAUUUAUUUAACUUUUACGCUACAAAAAUUAUUUACGUAUAAC
rnacentral:lncRNA from 1 species